rnacentral:rRNA from 1 species
GAUGAACGCUAGCGGCAGGCCUAAUACAUGCAAGUCGAACGGGAUCCAGAUCAAAGCUUGCUUUGGUUUGGUGAGAGUGGCGUACGGGUGCGUAACGCGUGAGCAACCUACCCUUGUCAGGGGGAUAGCCCGGCGAAAGUCGGAUUAAUACCGCAUGACAUCAUUGAGAGGCAUCUUUCGAUGAUCAAAGAUUUAUCGGACAAGGAUGGGCUCGCGUGACAUUAGCUAGUUGGUAAGGUAACGGCUUACCAAGGCUACGAUGUCUAGGGGCUCUGAGAGGAGAAUCCCCCACACGGGUACUGAGACACGGACCAGACUCCUACGGGAGGCAGCAGUAAGGAAGAUUGGUGAAUGGACGGAAGUCUGAACCAGCCAUGCCGCGUGCAGGAAGACGGCCCUAUGGGUUGUAAACUGCUUUUAUACGGGAACAAACGUCGGUACGUGUACCGGUCUGAGUGUACCGUAAGAAUAAGGAUCGGCUAACUCCGUG